rnacentral:ncRNA from 1 species
CCGACACUGCCACCGGGUAGAGAUGCCAAUAGGCGUCCGUUGACACAUCAUUAGGUCAUUGAAGAUGUGUCUGCGGACGCUUUUUUUAU